CGCCGAAUUUUGAACCGAUUGCCAAACUGUUUGAUUUUUAGAAACGUCACACGUGUAGCUACUAUACAAAGUGCUCGGAUAUUUUUUUACAAUGCUGGUUUUGCCACUCAACACUUAGAUGCCGGACUUCUGUUCAGCCUAUGGAUCAAUGACGUAUAUAUAGAGCUAGACCGCUCACUGGCCGCUGAGAGGCGGUAAAUAGGAGCUGACUUCCGGUAGUGGCAAGAAGGGGAUUUCACAUUGGAACGCCAGCACGGUGGAUGUGGCUAAUAUCUGACCAUGGUGAAAUCGUGUGCUGCCAUCUCCUGCACCAAUCCAUUUGUAAUAUUUCCUUUCAUAAGUUUCCCAAGCAGUCCAAGGACAGCACACUGAGAGAGCAAUGGAUACAGGCCAUCAGUAGAGAAGCGGUGGGGACCAAGAGGAGAUGAUCAUAAUUAUGUAUGCAGCAACCAUUUCAGGGAGGAGGACUUCAUCCUCUCAAAACAUGUGCAACACAAGCUUCUCAGGCCAGGGGCUGUACCAUCCCUCAAUCUGGGGAAACCAGAGAAAAAGAUCGCAGUGAGGACAACCCAAACCAGCCAGGCAGCAGUGGCAUUGGUUCCAAUAUUUUUUAGAGCCCAGGUAAGUAAAACACUAAUGCUGCAGAAAGUAUGAAACAGUUGUUAUUGACACAAUCACUGCAUCAGCAUUCAGCACUCAUUAUUGUGUGGUGGUCUCUGUCUCUGUCUGUGAGGGCUAAACAACGCUGUGAUUGCCGUGAAAACGUGCCUAGGACAGAGAUUUUAUUGUCUGCUAACAGUAAAAGCCAUAACAUAACACAUAUUGUCCCAUCACUGAUGACAAGCAGGCCUUGAAGUUGGUGUAUUUACACAGGAUCAAAUAGCGCGCCACAGCUUCUUACCACUACCGGAAGUCAGCGCCGAUUUACCAUGGCGCUGCUGUUGUUCGCCGAGCAGUGAGCGGUCUAGCUCUAUAUAUACGUCAUUGGUAUGGAUGCUCUAAUGAGCGCUGUAAGGGAACAAGAGCAUGUGGGAUUACUUUUCACAUGUAAGAUGUAUGUAAGAAAUAAUAUAUUGUUAGCAGGUUGUCAUAGCUAGAGUGAAAUAAACGCCGAGAAGACGGAUAGAACCCCUCAGCUCCGUGUCUGGCUUCUACUACCCAUGAUCUAACCAGCUCUCUGCAUCAUCCUGUGUAUUACACAGCUGCUUACCGGUGAAAUAACUAAUCUGAGACAAUUUUUUGUUUAAAAUUCGAUGUUAUGAAUCUAGCGUUCCUAGCAACUUACUGCAGUAAUUGGUGGGUUAGAAUACAGCGUCUGAUUGAUCUAAUAGCCCUGAUUUAUGAUGGAACUAUUUUUGUUGUAGACAAUUCUUUAUCUCUAGCUACUUUUCUCACAUGUUUAAGGUUUCCGAAAGAACGUGAUUUAUACACGUGAUAUAAUAGUAAUAAUAACAGUAAUAAUAAUGAUAAAAAUAAUAGUAAUAAUAGCAGUAAUAAUAGUAAUAAUUGAUAUAAUAUUAAGAGUAGUAAUAAUAAUAAUUAUUAUUAUUAACAGUAGUAAUAAUAGCAGUAUGGCAAAACCUGCAUUGUAAAAAAAUAUCCGAGCACCUUGUAUAGUAGCUACACGUGUGACGUUUCUAAAAAUCAAACAGUUUGGCAAUCGGUUCAAAAUUUGGCGAAUAAUUCCACUUUUAGAUUCAGCAGUACCUCUCUCCUCCAUAGAUGUCUAUGCACCGCUGCCUCGGCUGGCCCCGGUCCAAGAUGGCGGCGCUGCAGGCACAUCGCUCGAGUGGGCAGCCGCAGUCAAUGAGGCGUCUACGUAUAUAUGUCUAUGAGGACAUGUACACGAUGGGGCUGCAUAGUGGAUAGGUGAUUAGCGCUUUCGCCUUGCAGCAAGAAGAUCCCCGGUUCAAAUCCCGGGGUGGGUCUUUCUGCAUGGAGGUUGCAUGUUCUCCCUGUGCAUGUAUGGGUUUUCUCCGGGCACUCCGGCUUCCUCCCACAGUCCAAAAAUAUGCUGAGGUUAAUUGGUUACUCUAAAUUGUCCAUAGGUUUGAAUGCGAGAGUGAUUGUUCGUCUAUAUAUGUGGCCCUGCGACAGACUGGUGACCUGUCCAGGGUGUCCCCUGCCUUCACCUGAGUCAGCUGGGAUAGACUCCCCGCGAGGAAAAAGCGGUGUAUAGAGUAGGGAUGGGAAUUUGGACUAAUUUCCGAACCGACUAGUCGCUAAUUUUAUUGGCGACUAGUCGGUUCGGAAAACUUUCAAUUUAACCCUUUAAGCGCCAAAGUCGCAAUAUUGCGACAAGCAACAUUGCUGAACAUAACAAGCCAUAGCUUCAAAUAUACUGCCUCGUGUGCCUCAUGUACUGUACACCAGGAGAUGGCGGACAUCUGGAACUUUAAUCGGAGCAUCAGUUGUGGGCGUGUUUUCAUUUAAAGUUUUGGAAUUUAGAGUUUGAAAACCGAGGAGACGAGACUUGCCGUCGGAGUGUAUCAGAGCGCAAGACGGCACAUUUUAGAGUGAGAAAACUCACCAUACCGAGAGGUCUGGUCAACGCUGACAAAGUACUUUGUCAAGUAAUGGCUUACUCAUAUUCUGAAGUGGAAUAUUCACCCUCUGAUGAAGAUGUUCAGUCGUCCACUAAGACAGAAAGUACCGCUGCGUCUGUGCGUAACGGCAGCGGGUCGGUGUGCCAUGACAGUCCACGAGCAGCACAUACUGGAGCCGAUGCUUUGCUUCGGGGUGGUGGGUGUAGCUGGAGUGUUCAAAACACAGCUAAUGAUGAGGGGGAUAGCGGGGGUUGAAAAAAGAGACAAGCAUAUGCUACUGGCAGGAUCAACCAGGUAGCCCAGACGGGACGAGCGUGCGGCGCACGCCCGAGCAUAGAGCUGCAUGGCAGCGCCCAGUCGGGGUGGGGGGGCACACUAGCGUUUAACCGACUAGUAAAAUACUAAACGUUUAAUAAAUGAGUAGGCGGUUAAACGAUUAAACGACUAGUCGCGCACAUCCCUAGUAUAGAGAAUGGACGGAUGGAUGUAGGCGAUGUUACACCUGCUGCUCGGUCUCUGGCUUUCUGUCAGAUUCAAAGUAAAAGAAGAGUUGAAGAAAGCUGAGUGCGGCGAGUCAAGACACACAGGAGGCGAUACAGUAGUAUCAAGCUUAAAACAAGAGGAUACGAACUAGACAGCAUAUGAGGGUAAUACAAGUUCACUACAGUUAUCUUAUAUCAGUCCCGUGUCCAAUUCUGUAAUGGCUACAAUUUACUGCUAUUAGGUAUUAAAAUAUGUAUGCUGUGUAUGUGUUUCAGAUGGCUGUCUUAUGUGCCAUAAGACAGGCACCCCAUCUGAGCGGAUUCUUCCUCUUUGGGUCUCGGUGUGUUCAUUGCUCAUAAAUAAUCCCCUUAUUAGGAUGUACCUGAAGCAGCAGCACAUGAUGCAGAGGCACAAGGUGUAGAGGAGGGCAGAGAUGUACGGGAUGCACUGAUGCAUGAUUUGUCAUACAAAAGUUUAAAGUUAUUCUGCUUGUUAUACUGCAAUUUUUCUGUCUCUGGACCGCUAUUGUUCUGUUGAAUGUAAUUCUGAUAAAUUUUUGUACCUUUUGCAGAUGUGUCUAUGCAAUUCUUAAUUUGUGAAGGUUAGCAAGAUUAUAUCAGAAAUUAAAUCCCAAAAUAUUAAAACAGCUGUUUUAAGAAUAUUCCAGUUUGAUCAAUCAGUAUUGCUUUGGUGUAAUUUGAUCAACGGAAAUAUGAACCAUAAAGUAGCUUGUGUUAAAACAUGUUAAAUCUCAUUAAACACAAAUACAUUAUUCAGGAAUGAAGAAUUGUUUCAUUCAUACUGUGGCAAGAUGCAGGAUUGCACUCCCUGCCACUAGGGGUAGUGUGACCAUCAAUUAGUGGCAGAGUAUAAAGGCAUGUGGUUGGCCCCUCUGUCUUCCUCUCUUCCUCUUCCUCCUUUACGGAGCCGGCAAGCCUCCGUGUGAGCGAGUGUGGAAAUUGUGCUGUGCAGUGUUGGCGUUUUUAAUCAGUGCAGCGUGGCAUACCUGAGGACUGGACUGUGGAGCUCGUGGGUGCGGCACAUUCCCGUGGCCAUCACCAGCUGAGCAUGGGCUGCAGGCCUCCUCUGUUGCUGUCCAACCAGUCAGCCUCACUUGGCAAAUAUAUUGAAUUACUCAACCUUUUCCUUCCUUUUAUUCCCCUCUAUUUGCAGGUCAGUGACUUCUUGUCCGGCCGCUCCCCCCUCACCCUGGCACUGCUGUCUUGGCUGUCUCUUUUUUGAGUGGCGUUGUCUCCUCGCCAGUGCUGCUGCUGUUAGGGCAGGCUGGGGAUUGGCUGGGGGCAGCGUGUGUGCCAGACACCGCCGCUGUGGAGAUUCUGGCUCUGUUUCUUAAAGUUGCAGACGUUAUUUGCUUUGUUUGCGGUCCCUUUUUUUCUGUUAGCUUUUCAUUUGAGUCCCUGUUUUGUGUAGUUUAUAUUUGGAUUUG